rnacentral:rRNA from 1 species
AUUGAACGCUGGCGGCAUGCCUUACACAUGCAAGUCGAACGGCAGCACGGGUGCUUGCACCUGGUGGCGAGUGGCGAACGGGUGAGUAAUACAUCGGAACAUGUCCUGUAGUGGGGGAUAGCCCGGCGAAAGCCGGAUUAAUACCGCAUACGAUCUACGGAUGAAAGCGGGGGCCCUUCGGGCCUCGCGCUAUAGGGUUGGCCGAUGGCUGAUUAGCUAGUUGGGGGGGUAAAGGCCGACCAAGGCGACGAUCAGUAGCUGGUCUGAGAGGACGACCAGCCACACUGGAACUGAGACACGGCCCAGACUCCUACGGGAGGCAGCAGUGGGGAAUUUUGGACAAUGGGCGAAAGCCUGAUCCAGCAAUGCCGCGUGUGUGAAGAAGGCCUUCGGGUUGUAAAGCACUUUUGUCCGGAAAGAAAUCCUUGGCCCUAAUACGGUCGGGGGAUGACGGUACCGGAAGAAUAAGCACCGGCUAACUACGUG